rnacentral:rRNA from 1 species
UACGAAGGGGGCUAGCGUUGCUCGGAAUCACUGGGCGUAAAGGGUGCGUAGGCGGGUCCUUAAGUCAGAGGUGAAAUCCUGGAGCUCAACUCCAGAACUGCCUUUGAUACUGAGAGUCUUGAGUUCGGGAGAGGUGAGUGGAACUGCGAGUGUAGAGGUGAAAUUCGUAGAUAUUCGCAAGAACACCAGUGGCGAAGGCGGCUCACUGGCCCGAUACUGACGCUGAGGCACGAAAGCGUGGGGAGCAAACAGG